AGUGAAUGCUGGCGGUAGGCCUAACACAUGCAAGUCGAACGGCAGCACAGUAAGAGCUUGCUCUUACGGGUGGCGAGUGGCGGACGGGUGAGGAAUACAUCGGAAUCUACUUUUUCGUGGGGGAUAACGUAGGGAAACUUACGCUAAUACCGCAUACGACCUACGGGUGAAAGCAGGGGAUCUUCGGACCUUGCGCGAUUGAAUGAGCCGAUGUCGGAUUAGCUAGUUGGCGGGGUAAAGGCCAACCAAGGCGACGAUCCGUAGCUGGUCUGAGAGGAUGAUCGGCCACACUGGAACUGAGCCACGGUCCAGGCUCCUGCGGGAGGCAGCAGUGGGGAAUAUUGGACAAUGGGCGCAAGCCUGGUCCAGCCAUACCGCGUGGGUGACGAAGGCCUUCGGGUUGUAAAGCCCUUUUGUUGGGAAAGAACAGCAGCAGGUUAAUACCCCGCUGUUCUGACGGUACCCAAAGAAUAAGCACCGGCUAACUUCGUG
rnacentral:rRNA from 1 species